rnacentral:rRNA from 1 species
ACGGAAGGCAGCAGUGAGGAAUAUUGGUCAAUGGGCGGUAGCCUGAACCAGCCAAGUAGCGUGGACGAUGGAGGCCCUAUGGGUUGUGAAGUCCUUUUGCGCGGGGGUAAAGUGCGCCACGAGUGGCGCAUUGCAAGUACCGUGCGAAUAAGCAUCGGCUAACUCCGUGCCAGCAGCCGCGGUAAUACGGAGGAUGCGAGCGUUAUCCGGAUUUAUUGGGUUUAAAGGGAGCGUAGAUGGGAUGUCAAGUCAGUUGUGAAAGUUCGGGGCUCAACCUUGGAAUUGCAGUUGAAACUGACGUUCUUGAGUGCGGUUGCGGAAGGCGGAAUUCAGCGUGUAGCGGUGAAAUGCUUAGAUAUGACGAAGAACUCCGAUUGGGAAGCCAGCUUACUGUAGCGCCACUGACGCUGAUGCUCGAAAGCGUGGGUAUCGAACAGGAUUAGAUACCCUGGUA